UACAGAGGUCCCAAGCGUUGUUCGGAUUCACUGGGCGUAAAGGGUGCGUAGGCGGUCGGGUAAGUCUGAUGUGAAAUCUCACAGCUUAACUGUGAAACUGCAUUGGAUACUAUCCGGCUAGAGGAAUGGAGGGGAGAUUGGAAUACUUGGUGUAGCAGUGAAAUGCGUAGAUAUCAAGUGGAACACCAGUGGCGAAGGCGAGUCUCUGGACAUUUCCUGACGCUGAGGCACGAAAGCCAGGGGAGCAAACGGG
rnacentral:rRNA from 1 species